UACGUAGGGUGCAAGCGUUUAAUCGGAAUUACUGGGCGUAAAGCGUGCGCAGGCGGUUUUGUAAGUCUGUCGUGAAAUCCCCGGGCUCAACCUGGGGAAUUGCGAUGGAGACUGCAAGGCUAGAAUCUGGCAGAGGGGGGGUAGAAUUCCACGUGUAGCAGUGAAAUGCGUAGAGAUGUGGAGGAACACCGAUGGCGAAGGCAGCCCCCCUGGGUCAAGAUUGACGCUCAUGCACGAAAGCGUGGGGAGCAAACAGG
rnacentral:rRNA from 1 species